UACAGAGGUCCCAAGCGUUGUUCGGAUUCAUUGGGCGUAAAGGGUGCGUAGGUGGCGCCGUAAGUGGGGUGUGAAAUUUCGGAGCUUAACUCCGAAACUGCAUUCCAUACUGCGGUGCUUGAGGACUGGAGAGGAGACUGGAAUUCAUGGUGUAGCAGUGAAAUGCGUAGAGAUCAUGAGGAAGACCAGUGGCGAAGGCGGGUCUCUGGACAGUUCCUGACGCUGAGGAGCGAAAGCGUGGGGAGCGAACAGG
rnacentral:rRNA from 1 species